UACAGAGGUCUCAAGCGUUUGUUCGGAUUCAUUGGGCGUAAAGGGUGUGUAGGUGGCGCGCUAAGUCGGGUGUGAAAUUUCGGAGCUUAACUCCGAAACUGCAUUCGAUACUGGCGUGCUUGAGGACUGGAGAGGAGACUGGAAUUCAUGGUGUAGCAGUGAAAUGCGUAGAGAUCAUGAGGAAGACCAGUGGCGAAAGGCGGGUCUCUGGACAGUUCCUGACACUGAGACACGAAGGCCAGGGGAGCAAAACGGG
rnacentral:rRNA from 1 species